UACGAAGGGGGCGAGCGUUGUUCGGAUUUACUGGGCGUAAAGGGCGCGCAGGCGGCAGAUCAAGUCAGAUGUGAAAGCCCCGGGCUUAACCUGGGAACUGCAUUUGGGACUGGUUUGCUAGAGAUCGGGAGAGGAGAGUGGAAUUCCCAGUGUAGAGGUGAAAUUCGUAGAUAUUGGGAGGAACACCAGUGGCGAAGGCGGCUCACUGGACCGGUACUGACGCUGAGGUGCGAAAGCGUGGGGAGCAAACAGG
rnacentral:rRNA from 1 species